rnacentral:rRNA from 1 species
GAUGAACGCUAGCGGCAGGCCUAAUACAUGCAAGUCGGACGGGAUCCAUCGGUAGCUUGCUAUCUAUGGUGAGAGUGGCGCACGGGUGCGUAACGCGUGAGCAACCUGCCUCCAUCAGGGGGAUAGCCUCUCGAAAGAGAGAUUAACACCGCAUAACAUAUCAGCCCGGCAUCGGUCGGAUAUCAAAUAUUUAUAGGAUGGAGAUGGGCUCGCGUGACAUUAGCUUGUUGGUGGGGUAACGGCCCACCAAGGCGACGAUGUCUAGGGGCUCUGAGAGGAAGAUCCCCCACACUGGUACUGAGACACGGACCAGACUCCUACGGGAGGCAGCAGUAAGGAAUAUUGGUCAAUGGGCGGAAGCCUGAACCAGCCAUGCCGCGUGCAGGAAGACUGCCCUAUGGGUUGUAAACUGCUUUUGUCCGGGAAUAAACCUCCUUACGUGUAGGGAGCUGAAUGUACCGGAAGAAUAAGGAUCGGCUAACUCCGUG